UUGCGAAGCCCCCAAAAGCGAAUGAAAAUACCCUAGUUCUCAGAAAGCUACUAAACAAGAAGCUUUCAAACAUCCAUUCGCAUAUUAGCCUUCCCCGGGGAAAGCGGGCCCAGAGCUGAGCCCAACAGCCUCCGAGUAGCGGCUCAAAGGUUCUGCGGAUCAGAGCUAGCAGCGUCCCCAGUGCCGCCGGCUGCUCCCAGCGCUUGUCGGCUCCGACACACCUGCCCCAGCAGAGCGACAGCUGCCCCCGCAGCACUCCGCCCUGGCGGGGACCGCACCCACAGCCGCAGCGCCACCUUCAGCCUCACAAACAGCGGCAGAACACCAGCCACGGGGCUCCGAUCGCCGCCCGGGACCUCUGCUCGGCGCCAGACGACGAGGCUGGGCUCGGGGCCGGCGAAUCCCGACAGCCUUCCGCACCGAGGAGCCCUCCGGCCUCGCCCGCCCGGACGCAGGAGGGAGCCCAGGUAUUCCUUCUGGAAGAUCUGACAGAGCCAGCUGCUCAGGAUGUAACUGCUGUUGGAUGCCGGUGUUCUUUCUGCAGAGCUCCUGCUGACAGAUGGCCAGCUAGAGACAUCCUUUGAACCCUUGGAACUACAUCUGGAUGGAAAAACACCACAAUGCAAGGACUCUUUGCCCACUGCCCUCUCAUGUUUGGCACACAGACACUUAACACAGGACCCAAAGGAGGCAGAGAAGUCUGGAAUGGCAACUCUCCAACACUGCAGCUCUAACUGCCUGAGAAGUCCAUGAAUUACACAAAUAUUUAUCUUCAGAAGGAGGGCUGACAAAAAAAUUUUUCUGCAGGUCUGCAGAAGAGCCUGAGUGUGGAGAACUGCAGUGUCAGCAGGUAUGCACUGACAGCCACUGCCUUGUCUCUUUCCAACCUGAUUCUCCGGCCCAGCAGGAAGAGAAUGGUAGCCCUCAGCAUCCUUUGCUAGCAUGAAACAACAGUUACUAUUUGAUCUUGUCAAUAUAAACACUAAGAAGAUCUUGAUAAUCAGCCAGACCACCAAGACAGCUGUCUGGAGAAAAAGAAACCAACUCAACAGGCUAAUUUCUCUAUGGAUUUUGUUAUCAAGGUUCCCCCACUAAGACUGGUCAGCUUGACGCAGCACGUGGCUUGCAUCUGCCUUAUGUUCAACGUGGCAUCGUGGAACUUGUUGAAAAGCAAGAGCUGUUAACUUUGCCUUUUAAGGAGAAGAAAUUUCUAGUCACUUCUAUCUUCAGAAUACCUUUUUGUUCUUUAAGAAAAGAGGCUUUCCUCAUUGUUCAAGCAGAACAUGCUAUCCUGCCUCUUGCAGGUGCUACAGGUAUGUCUGAAGGGCUUCCUUUUUUUUUCCCACUCAUGCUUUUCAGAAAGUUAUUAUCACAUAUUAUUUUGUAGCUGUGAACCUCUGCAACAGAGUUAGUUUAUAGAGCCAGAACAAAUUAGGCAACAAGCCCUCCUUGUCAGUUACUGCUGUUUUCACUUCAGAAAUAAAUCCCAACAACUGCAAGCAGGGCAAGCCUACAAUUUUCAGAUUAUCUCAGUGUGGAGUAAAUUAGAAAUAGGUUUCCAGCCUGAGGCACAUUUUCCACAUGUACAACUUGACUUUAAAACAGUCUUGGUCUCUACUACUUACGACUGCAAUGAUACCAUUUCAGGCAACACAUGUCCGUCCUGCAGGGCUACCACGAGGCUGUUGAUAUUAUACUCUAGUUCUGUUUCUGAUCAUUCUUUCCAUGCUGGAGAAAUAAUGGUGAUAAUUUUACAAGGGCUUGUAGUGAUAGGAUGAGAGGGAAUGGGCUGAGGCUCGAAGAGGGGAUAUUUAGACUGGAGACUAGGAAGAAAUUCUUUAUAUUAAGAGUGGUGAGACACUGGAACAGGUUGCCUAGGGAGGCCAUGGAUGCCCUCCCUCUGGAAGUGUUGAAGGCAAAGACUGGAUGAGGCCUUGAGUGAUCUGACCUAGUGGAGGGUGACUUUUAAAGUCCCUUCCAACCUAAAGCAUUCAAUGAACUUGAAAUUCAAAAAGUUCAGGGCUUGAACUUGGUUAAGACAUCCACAUCUCUUCAACUCAAUUUUCAAUGGGAAAGGCCAAAAACUUUUUGUAAUCCAUCAUCUAUAUCUGAACCCAUCAAUUACAAGUUAAGAUUCUCAGAAGAUAAAUCCUUCCACUUACAAAAGAUAAAACACUGUUCAAAAUUAUAAUAAUAAAGUAUCCCAAAGAGGUACAAACUCAGGUUAAUGGAAAGGUGAUUGUCCAAGCUACUGGCAAAUAGAAGUACUGCAUAGUAAAUGAGGAGAGGCUGAGG